rnacentral:misc_RNA from 1 species
CCAGAGCUUUGUCGCCAUCGAUCGCCACAAGGAUACGACAUACGAGGCGACGUAUCGGCCGCAGGCGCUCUACAGCCGCGCGGACGAAGGNNNNNNNNNNUGCGAACAACGAAGCCUUCCUGCUCCAUGAGGUCGCGACAAACCUGCCGAUCUAUCUUCCCGAUACAGGCCCCACCGAUUUCCAUCUUCAUCUUCCGCCGGGCGGUUUCCAGCUCGUGUUGGUCACAUCGGGCAUGUUCACCUUCGAUUACGACGGACGCUUCUAUAAUGUCGGCCCCGGCGCGGUGAUGCUGCAAAGCGCGAUCGUGCAUCGCCAGCUUUUCUACACCUGGUCGGGAUUGUCGACUGAAGAGAAUCUGAAGACGCCGCAGACGGUGGCGCCGGAUCCGAUCUCGAUGGGCUACUCAGGAAAAUUUCUUGAAGCCUUCAUCGCCGNGACAUUUCCCAACCCGACGAUUGUGGGUCCGGAUCAGAUCAACGAAGACGAAACGCCGCGUGUGGCCUGG